ACCACGAGAAAGCGGUAAACCUUGUUUGUUGUCAGUAACCUGGACAUUCUGUGGCUAGUUCCAAGGCGACAAGAUUUUCUGGAGGGUGGAGGGUGUCAUACUGAUUGU